UACCAUACUACAUAAAUCAGACAUUCUCUGAUUUCAUAACAUUAUCUGAUACUUUCUUCGUGCUUUUCCUUCAAAAUCUGGGGGAUAUCAUUCUGGGCCCAUCUGUUAUAGGACGGAAUGAGUCUUACAUGAGCACUGUUUUCCCCAAGAAGUGUACCUCUGUUCUUGAAACUGUUGCAAAUAUCGGACUUCUAUUCUUUCUCUUUCUGGUUGGGCUGGACUCACCUUGGGAUUCCUGAUGAACACCAAAGGGCUGGUAGAGUUGAUUGUCCUCAACAUUGGCAAGGAGAGGAAGAUGCUACACCACAGAGCAGAACAUAAACUGCUAUGACCGGACUUUUGCCUGAGGCUGACAGAGCAACAGCAAUUGGUAAGAGAACCCAAGCAACCACAUCGUUGACAGCUGCUGCAGACAUGGCCAUCUGACCCACAUCUCUUUAAAGAAGUUUGAGCUCUGCAAGCACAGGGAAGGCAGUGAUAGACAAUGCAACACCCAUGAAGACAAGAAAGGCGCCAUAAUCCACACCUUUUGAAAUUGUUGACCUGAGUAGAAAAGCAACCCCAAUCUCAGCUAGGAACGGUCAAUUGGCAGAGCUUUUCUUCCUGUUCGCCUAAUGGCACCAAAAUCUAACUCCAGCCCAACCAGAAAGAGAAAGAAUAGAAGCCCGAUAUUGGCAACAGUUUCAAGAACAGGGGUACUCUUCUUGGGGGAAAACAGUGCUCAUGUAAGAUUCAUUGCGUCCUAUAGCAGAUGGGCCCAGAAUGUUUCCCCCCUGCAAGAAAAAAUCUAAACUUCUUUAAUACCAUACUACCUUACAUUGAAUAUUUUAAUAAAAAAUAUAUUAUUUUCUUCA